rnacentral:rRNA from 1 species
AACGAACGCUGGCGGCAUGCCUAACACAUGCAAGUCGAACGAGACCUUCGGGUCUAGUGGCGCACGGGUGCGUAACGCGUGGGAACCUGCCCUUAGGUUCGGAAUAACUCCCCGAAAGGGGUGCUAAUACCGGAUAAUGUCUUCGGACCAAAGAUUUAUCGCCUUUGGAUGGGCCCGCGUUGGAUUAGCUAGUUGGUAGGGUAAAAGCCUACCAAGGCGACGAUCCAUAGCUGGUCUGAGAGGAUGAUCAGCCACACUGGGACUGAGACACGGCCCAGACUCCUACGGGAGGCAGCAGUGGGGAAUAUUGGACAAUGGGCGAAAGCCUGAUACAGCAAUGCCGCGUGAGUGAUGAAGGCCUUAGGGUUGUAAAGCUCUUUUACACGGGAUGAGAAUGACAGUACCGGGAGAAUAAGCUCCGGCUAACUCCGUG